rnacentral:tRNA from 1 species
CAUCGUUGUUAAUUCAACUAUAAAAAC